GGUUAAGCGACUAAGCGUACACGGUGGAUGCCCUGGCAGUCAGAGGCGAUGAAGGACGUGCUAAUCUGCGAUAAGCGUCGGUGAGGUGAUAUGAACCGUUAUAACCGGCGAUUUCCGAAUGGGGAAACCCAGUGUGUUUCGACACACUAUCAUUAACUGAAUCCAUAGGUUAAUGAGGCGAACCGGGGGAACUGAAACAUCUAAGUACCCCGAGGAAAAGAAAUCAACCGAGAUUCCCCCAGUAGCGGCGAGCGAACGGGGAGGAGCCCAGAGCCUGAAUCAGUGUGUGUGUUAGUGGAAGCGUCUGGAAAGGCGCGCGAUACAGGGUGACAGCCCCGUACACAAAAAUGCACAUAUUGUGAGCUCGAUGAGUAGGGCGGGACACGUGGUAUCCUGUCUGAAUAUGGGGGGACCAUCCUCCAAGGCUAAAUACUCCUGACUGACCGAUAGUGAACCAGUACCGUGAGGGAAAGGCGAAAAGAACCCCGGCGAGGGGAGUGAAAAAGAACCUGAAACCGUGUACGUACAAGCAGUGGGAGCCUCUUAAUGGGGUGACUGCGUACCUUUUGUAUAAUGGGUCAGCGACUUAUAUUCUGUAGCAAGGUUAACCGAAUAGGGGAGCCGAAGGGAAACCGAGUCUUAACUGGGCGUUAAGUUGCAGGGUAUAGACCCGAAACCCGGUGAUCUAGCCAUGGGCAGGUUGAAGGUUGGGUAACACUAACUGGAGGACCGAACCGACUAAUGUUGAAAAAUUAGCGGAUGACUUGUGGCUGGGGGUGAAAGGCCAAUCAAACCGGGAGAUAGCUGGUUCUCCCCGAAAGCUAUUUAGGUAGCGCCUCGUGAAUUCAUCUCCGGGGGUAGAGCACUGUUUCGGCAAGGGGGUCAUCCCGACUUACCAACCCGAUGCAAACUGCGAAUACCGGAGAAUGUUAUCACGGGAGACACACUGCGGGUGCUAACGUCCGUCGUGAAGAGGGAAACAACCCAGACCGCCAGCUAAGGUCCCAAAGUCAUGGUUAAGUGGGAAACGAUGUGGGAAGGCCCAGACAGCCAGGAUGUUGGCUUAGAAGCAGCCAUCAUUUAAAGAAAGCGUAAUAGCUCACUGGUCGAGUCGGCCUGCGCGGAAGAUGUAACGGGGCUAAACCAUGCACCGAAGCUGCGGCAGCGACACUAUGUGUUGUUGGGUAGGGGAGCGUUCUGUAAGCCUGUGAAGGUGUACUGUGAGGUAUGCUGGAGGUAUCAGAAGUGCGAAUGCUGACAUAAGUAACGAUAAAGCGGGUGAAAAGCCCGCUCGCCGGAAGACCAAGGGUUCCUGUCCAACGUUAAUCGGGGCAGGGUGAGUCGACCCCUAAGGCGAGGCCGAAAGGCGUAGUCGAUGGGAAACAGGUUAAUAUUCCUGUACUUGGUGUUACUGCGAAGGGGGGACGGAGAAGGCUAUGUUGGCCGGGCGACGGUUGUCCCGGUUUAAGCGUGUAGGCUGGUUUUCCAGGCAAAUCCGGAAAAUCAAGGCUGAGGCGUGAUGACGAGGCACUACGGUGCUGAAGCGACAAAUGCCCUGCUUCCAGGAAAAGCCUCUAAGCAUCAGGUAACAUCAAAUCGUACCCCAAACCGACACAGGUGGUCAGGUAGAGAAUACCAAGGCGCUUGAGAGAACUCGGGUGAAGGAACUAGGCAAAAUGGUGCCGUAACUUCGGGAGAAGGCACGCUGAUAUGUAGGUGAAGCGACUUGCUCGUGGAGCUGAAAUCAGUCGAAGAUACCAGCUGGCUGCAACUGUUUAUUAAAAACACAGCACUGUGCAAACACGAAAGUGGACGUAUACGGUGUGACGCCUGCCCGGUGCCGGAAGGUUAAUUGAUGGGGUUAGCGGUAACGCGAAGCUCUUGAUCGAAGCCCCGGUAAACGGCGGCCGUAACUAUAACGGUCCUAAGGUAGCGAAAUUCCUUGUCGGGUAAGUUCCGACCUGCACGAAUGGCGUAAUGAUGGCCAGGCUGUCUCCACCCGAGACUCAGUGAAAUUGAACUCGCUGUGAAGAUGCAGUGUACCCGCGGCAAGACGGAAAGACCCCGUGAACCUUUACUAUAGCUUGACACUGAACAUUGAGCCUUGAUGUGUAGGAUAGGUGGGAGGCUUUGAAGUGUGGACGCCAGUCUGCAUGGAGCCGACCUUGAAAUACCACCCUUUAAUGUUUGAUGUUCUAACGUGGGCCCCUUACCGGGGUUGCGGACAGUGUCUGGUGGGUAGUUUGACUGGGGCGGUCUCCUCCUAAAGAGUAACGGAGGAGCACGAAGGUUGGCUAAUCCUGGUCGGACAUCAGGAGGUUAGUGCAAUGGCAUAAGCCAGCUUGACUGCGAGCGUGACGGCGCGAGCAGGUGCGAAAGCAGGUCAUAGUGAUCCGGUGGUUCUGAAUGGAAGGGCCAUCGCUCAACGGAUAAAAGGUACUCCGGGGAUAACAGGCUGAUACCGCCCAAGAGUUCAUAUCGACGGCGGUGUUUGGCACCUCGAUGUCGGCUCAUCACAUCCUGGGGCUGAAGUAGGUCCCAAGGGUAUGGCUGUUCGCCAUUUAAAGUGGUACGCGAGCUGGGUUUAGAACGUCGUGAGACAGUUCGGUCCCUAUCUGCCGUGGGCGCUGGAGAACUGAGGGGGGCUGCUCCUAGUACGAGAGGACCGGAGUGGACGCAUCACUGGUGUUCGGGUUGUCAUGCCAAUGGCACUGCCCGGUAGCUAAAUGCGGAAGAGAUAAGUGCUGAAAGCAUCUAAGCACGAAACUUGCCCCGAGAUGAGUUCUCCCUGACUCCUUGAGAGUCCUGAAGGAACGUUGAAGACGACGACGUUGAUAGGCCGGGUGUGUAAGCGCAGCGAUGCGUUGAGCUAACCGGUACUAAUGAACCGUGAGGCUUAACCUU
rnacentral:rRNA from 1 species